AACAAAAAAAGAAAAUAUAAACUAUAUAUAAAUAUUAUCUUGUCAGAUUCAGAAAGCGCUAGAGAAUGGAUCUCUGAAUUCAAUGUAAAUACUAAAGUUUAUUUUUUGGUCUUCAGAGGAAAGUAUUCUGUAUUAUUGCAAUAGCUCAAGAUAUUAGUUUAGUUUGAGGGGAUAACCGGGUACAAAAUGUUAGAUGCUGAAAAGAUAGCUUGCUUUUAGCUAUGAGACUUAGUGUCAACUAAAUAACUAUUGAAUGCGUAAAGUAAGCACAUUAAAAGUGCUUCUUUAUGAUCACGGCAUCUGUGGAAAAAGUGCUUCUUUAUGAUCACGGCAUCUGUGGAAAAAGUGCCAGUUUUUGAUUCUUUCGAAUCAAACAAUUUUGUACCUGUUAAAAAUACAUGAUCAUUGUGCCAGUGAAGUUAUAAAGAAACUUUAACUAAAAACAAAAUUAUAGUAUAUAUUUUCAUAAAAAACACGAGCGACUAUUUUAGUCAGGCUGAAAGGUAUAACAGUGGUUCGUCUUUUAAAAUAAUAACAAAAGAAGUUGCUGUCUACACACUGGAUGAAAUUAAAUCAAACAAGUUUAUGUAAAAAAGUGUGUAUGUAUAUAUAAAAAGGUCAAGCGCUUUCGACAAUUACGUCAUCAUCAGCGCCAUCGUCUAAUUAAAAGUGAACAUCCUCAAGAGCACCAAACCGAACAUGUAAAACAAUAGUCAGAAAUGGUCUUGUAAUUGUAAGUGUAUUGUAGAAACAGACUGAAGUUAAAAUUAGAAUGAAAUUUAAUUAAGGAACUUGACUAGUCGGCCUUAACAGUAUGUCGACCAGUCUUAUACAUACAUACACACUUUUUUACAUAAACUUUUGAUUGAAUUUAAAUUAAUGCUGUUAUAAGACCAUUUUUGAUCCCAAUAUGUCAGAAAUAAGCAUUAUUUGAAUGAACAUAACAUUGAACAGUUGUAUGUAAUCAAAGUUCAUAAUGAAAUGCAUCCAGAAACAUGCCCAAACGUUUUGUAUCAAAGACUUCCUGAACAUCAGGAAUGAAUAAACUUUUGGCAGGAAGAGAAUAACUAAUUAAAAAUCUUGGAAAUUUAAUUUAUUGACUUAAAAUCCAUUUAACUUGCAACACAGUUAAACGCUGGCCAUAGAUUCUAGAAGUUCCUGUAACAAAAUAAAACAUGUUUUAGUUUUACAAAUAAAUUACCGAAAAUUGUGCACAAUAUAAAUGAAAAACAUACUUCGCAAUAAGGCCGUCUCGCUUCGCGAGCCUGACAAUACAAUCAUCAGACUCUCCCAUCCUUCGAAUCGCUCCACAUAAAGCAUAGCUUUUGGAGUUAUCAGUCAUCCUGCCGGUAACUGGAUCGACUU
rnacentral:lncRNA from 1 species